rnacentral:rRNA from 1 species
GAUGAACGCUAGCGGCAGGCUUAACACAUGCAAGUCGAGGGGUAUGCCGAUUUAUCGGCAGAGACCGGCGCACGGGUGCGUAACGCGUAUGCAAUCUACCUUUCACAGAGGGAUAGCCCAGAGAAAUUUGGAUUAAUACCUCAUAGUAUAGCAAUUUCGCAUGAAACCACUAUUAAAGUUCCAACGGUGAAAGAUGAGCAUGCGUCCCAUUAGCUAGAUGGUAAGGUAACGGCUUACCAUGGCUACGAUGGGUAGGGGUCCUGAGAGGGAGAUCCCCCCACACUGGUACUGAGACACGGACCAGACUCCUACGGGAGGCAGCAGUGAGGAAUAUUGGUCAAUGGACGCAAGUCUGAACCAGCCAUGCCGCGUGCAGGAUGACGGUCCUAUGGAUUGUAAACUGCUUUUGUACGAGAAGAAACAACAUUACGU